rnacentral:piRNA from 1 species
UGCCUGUGCAUUGCUGCCACUACACAGC